rnacentral:rRNA from 1 species
UACGUAGGGGGCAAGCGUUGUCCGGAAUCAUUGGGCGUAAAGAGCGUGUAGGCGGCCUGAUAAGUCGGCUGUGAAAGUCAAGGGCUCAACCCUUGAAUGCCGGCCGAUACUGUCAGGCUAGAGUCCGGAAGAGGCGAGUGGAAUUCCUGGUGUAGCGGUGAAAUGCGCAGAUAUCAGGAGGAACACCUAUGGCGAAGGCAGCUCGCUGGGACGGUACUGACGCUGAGACGCGAAAGCGUGGGGAUCAAACAGG